UGGGUUGUGGCUCAGUGGUAAAGCGCUAGUCUUGCAUGCAUGGAACACUGGGUUCAAUCCUCAGCACCACAU
rnacentral:tRNA from 1 species